AUAGCCAUAUCACGUUGAAACACCGGUUCUCGUACGAUCAGCGAAGUUAAGCAACGUUGAGCUCGGUCAGUACCUAGAUGGGGGACCGUUUAGUAAUACCAAGUGCUGUAAGC